rnacentral:rRNA from 1 species
AGCGGCGGACGGGUGAGUAAUGCAUGGGAAUCUGCCCGAUAGUGGGGGACAACCUGGGGAAACUCAGGGCUAAUACCGCAUACGUCCUACGGGAGGAAAGGCAGGGGAUUCUUCGGACCUUGCGCUAUCGGGAUGAGCCCCAUGUCGGAAUAGCUUGUUGGUGAGGUAAUGGCUCACCCAGGGCGACGAUCCCGUAGCUGGUCUGAGAGGAUGAUCAGCCACACUGGGGACUGAGACACGGGCCCAGACUCCUACGGGAGGCAGCAGUGGGGAAUAUUGGACAAUGGGGCGAAAGCCUGAUCCAGCCAUGCCGCGUGUGUGAAGAAGGCCUUCGGGUUGUAAAGCACUUUCAGCGAGGAAGAACGCCUUGGGAUUAAUACUUCCGAGGAAAGACAUCACUCGCAGAAGAAGCACCGGCUAACUCCGUGCCAGCAGCCGCGGUAAUACGGAGGGUGCAAGCGUUAAUCGGAAUUACUGGGCGUAAAGCGCGCGUAGGUGGCUAAGUCAGCCAGGUGUGAAAGCCCCGGGCUCAACCUGGGAACGGCAUCUGGAACUGCUUGGCUAGAGUGCAGGAGAGGAAGGUAGAAUUCCCGGUGUAGCGGUGAAAUGCGUAGAGAUCGGGAGGAAUACCAGUGGCGAAGGCGGCCUUCUGGACUGACACUGACACUGAGGUGCGAAAGCGUGGGUAGCAAACAGGAUUAGAUACCCUGGUAGUCCACGCCGUAAACGAUGUCAACUAGCCGUUGGGUCCCUUGAGGACUUAGUGGCGCAGCUAACGCAAUAAGU